ensembl:snRNA U6 U6 spliceosomal RNA
GUAUUCGCUUCAGCAGCACAUAUACUAAAAUUGGAAUGAUACAGAGAAGAUUAGCAUGGCCCCGGCACAAGGGUGACACACAUAUUUGUGAAGUGUUCCAUAUUUUU